GAUUACUCUUCUUUCGCAUUUGAGAGACGAAUCAUCUCACCAUGUUUUGGACUCCCACUCUUAGCUUGGUCUUCAUAAUGUGGUGCACAGGAUCAAAGUCUCAACCUACCCUGACCCAGCCGCCUUCAACUUCCAUAGCUCCAGGAAAUACAGUGAAACUCCCCUGUGCCAUGAGCAGUGGAUCCAGCAUCAGUGGCUAUAAUGUGUACUGGUACCAGCAGAAGCCUGGGAAUGCUCCACGGUACCUCUUACGGUAUUAUUCAGAUUCCAGCAAGCACCAAGGCUCUGGGGUCCCCGCUCGCUUCUCAGGGUCCAAAGAUGCCUCCAGUAACACCUGCUAUUUAAACAUUGCGGGAACCCUGGCAGAAGACGAGGCCGAUUAUUCCUGUGCAGUGUGGGACAGCAACCAGUGUCACAGUGGCAUGUUCUGA